rnacentral:rRNA from 1 species
UACGUAGGGGGCUAGCGUUGUCCGGAAUCAUUGGGCGUAAAGCGCGCGUAGGCGGCCAGAUAAGUCCGGUGUGAAAGUCACAGGCUCAACCUGUGAAUGCCGCUGGAAACUGUCUGGCUAGAGUCCGGAAGGGGCGAGUGGAAUUCCUGGUGUAGCGGUGAAAUGCGCAGAUAUCAGGAGGAACACCCGUGGCUAAGGCGGCUCUCUAGUACGGUACUGACGCUGAGACGCGAAAGCGUGGGGAGCGAACAGG